rnacentral:lncRNA from 1 species
CUAGCUAGCUCCAACAACAUCCCUUUUAUCUGAUUUGAAAGGAAUGGCGUUCAAGCACCAGCUCGUCCUCUCGGCCUCGUCAUGCUUGCCAUUCUCGCCGCCGCCUCCGCCAAUGUCGGGGGUCAGUGUGUUCCAGGGCAGGCGAUGCCACAUAAGGCUACCCACAGUGGGAGUAACAUAGAUAGUAGCAUCACUGUUGGCCCAGACGCCGAGUACUGUCGGUGUGAAACGACACCUAUGGGAUCAAGGGGAUCCCUUCUGCGGUUGCGGGGCGCUGGAAUGGUGAGGAGAGCAGGAUCAACAGUCAGUGCAAACACACGGGUCGUUUACCCAGGUUCGGGCCGCAGAGAUGUGUAAUACCCUAGUCCUGCUUUGGUGGUUGUAUAUCUGUGUUCUUGAGGAGCUCGAACUAGCUACAGAGGGCGUAACUUGUCCAAGGGUCCGAAUCCUUCUCCUGGAUGCCUUGGGUCUCCUUUUAUAGGCAAAGGGAUCGCCACAGUGGCACCAGGAGGUGGCAUCGAGGUACUGUGGCUAAGCUUAUCGCUAGUCAUUACGGGACAAAGCGCAUUUAAUGCGCAGCUUAGGUGUCCCCUCGCUUUAUUGGGGACGGGAGCGAGGCCCGUCCCAUCCGUCGCCGCUCCUCCUCGCUUCGACACGCGCCUUGGCCAGCGGUGCAUGCGGCGCCAUGUAGGCAGGCAAGCAGCUGAGGUGGCGCGGUGGUGGAGCCUUCAAGAAGAUCUGCAUGCGUCACGCAAGCAUGUGAUGAGUUGGCGAAGGAGCCCUUCGUUGACACGCAGGUGCCUGCCCGGUUGGUGGGCUGGCAGCUGCAUGGGAUUGGCGGUGGGAAGCUUGGCGGGUGCGGGCCUAGCUGUGACCUCGCGGACGCCCUCGGCAAGGGCCUUGCCGGGGUCCCCGGCAAGGGUCUUGUCGCAGCGUAUGGUCAUCCCCGGCAAGGAUCUUGCCGGGGGCCUUGUGGAUUCCCUCGGCAAGGAUCUUGCCGAGGUUCUUCGUAUCUUACUCUUCUGAUCAAGAGCGUGUUUGUUCCUUGUCUUCACAAAGAUCUGCAUACCACCAUGGAGGUGCCUCCCGAGCCCUGGUCCAACGCAGUUGAUGGUGUUGGGAACCGUGGGCUCGAGGGUGGCUCGCUCCGUUGGUGUUGGGGCGGGCUGCCCCGGCAAGGGUCUUGCCGGGGCCGCAGAGGCUGCCCCGGCAAGGACCUUGCCGGGGGAACCUGCUUCGUCCCUUUGCUCUCUGUGUCUUGGCCUUGGCGUUGCUUCGCUUUGUCUUGUGAUUCUGGUUCCAUCUCGGUUCAUCUCCCUUGCCUUGCCAAGUGUGGUCGUGGCGCGUGGCUUCGACUGCCCGUGCACAAGUAAAGGGGUACAAAAGGAGAACCCCUACUUUUGUACACCGACAGGAGCCCCCGGGCCUGGGCCACACAUAAGCGCAACACGUUGUUGGGCUAGGCCCAGAACGGUGUGCGGGCAGGCGGGGCGGUUUUUACCGCGGUAAUUUUUCCGUCCGCUGCGCUUCCCCACGAUCCGCGCGUGACGUGAGGGUCGUGCGUGACGUGGGGGUCAUGCGUGGGGCGGUUCCCGCACGCAUGCGUCACGUCGCGGUAAAUGGAAGAGGGGGCGGCCCGCGCGUUCCCCGCGAAGAGGGAGGGACGUGAAGGCGCGACCCAUUUACUGAGUGGGGCCUGGUCGCGGUCUUCAAGGCGUCCACACCCCAUGAUCACGGGGUCGGGAAGGGUCGUUUCACCCGUCCCCUCGAUUCUGCACGUUCGCCACGCGUCCUCCAUGCGCCUGAGAUGUCAGGCGGUGGAGGUGGGAAACUGGGCCGUUGCUGGUUGGAGCAGCGGGUCGGUCCUGAUUCCCUGCGCUCUUGGUGGAUUGGAUUGGCCGAGCAGGGCGGCCGAGCCCCGAUCCCGCCCCUUUAUAAGGAGAGGGAGGGGGGAUGGCAUUCCGCACUCUUUCAUCUUUGCCUUCCUCUGCUUCUGCUUCUUCCUCUCACCCACCAUGAAGAAAGGGAACCCCGGUCCUUCGACGGUGGCGGCGAGGGUCGCCGCCCGACAGCGCGUCCCUCCUUCCCAAGGGCCCGUGGUGGCCGAGCCAACCAUGAGGGGAACGGGAAGGGGGCGAGGCCGUGGGCGAGGCCGCGGUCGUCGUGGCGCUCGGGGAAGAGGAGGACGGGGCGGCGCAUCGGCCUCGCCUCCGCCGGCGGCCCCUCCUCCAGUGGAGGGCCAUGUCGAGGACAAUCCCCGCGAGUUCUUCGUCAGGCUGCACCAUUCGCCCCGCCGUCGCCUCCGCCUUCCGACUCCGUUUGCACAGGAAAUGGAAGUGAACCCGCCGCAGGUGCUGCGGCUACGCAUGAGGGGUUGCGGGAACUGUGGUACAUGGGCCGACGUCGAGUUCCCCGCCCCUCAUGUCAUGUACCUUCACCGAGGGUGGAAAACCUUUGCUCGCAUCCACAGCCUGACGGAGGGGCUCACUCUCCAUUUCAAGUUAAUGGAGGGUGCCCUCCUCCUUGUCAAGGUCUUCGGGCACUUCGGGACUCGCGCAAGGUGCUGCAUGGAGAGCUCCUCCGAUGGCGAAGACUCUUCCUCGAGCGAGAGCGACGAGGAGGACAGCGGCAGCGACGACGAGGGCAGCGGGCGGCAGGAUGACGGGUCCGACUAGGUGUCGGGCGCGUCGCGCCGGGGCGGGUGCGGCAGCAGCAGCAUUUGCACCUGGCCGCUCCUCCGGCGGAGUUCGCCAGGGGAGGGGCCAGCUCCUUGAACUUCUCGGGGCCGUCUCCUUGGGCGGCUGGCGUUGGGAGGAUGCGGAAGAGGAAGAGGGCGGGCGGCAAGGCCGUCAAGUCGGAGUACGCGGGCACCGACGCCUUCAUCGCGUAUUGGCGACCUGCCGCCUCGUCUUCCAGCUCUUCCUCCGGCGCCGCCAUCACCAGCCAGCCUUUGGACGGCCACCGAGAUGUCCUCUUGGUGUCUUCUGCCACCCGUAGCUCACCUAGGCGCCCCUUUUGCCCUUUUCGCCUCCUUGACCUGCCUCUUGAGGAGAGGGACAAGAAAGGGAUUACGGACACCUUAUCUUUUUUCAACUUGUAAGCUUGCGGGCAUUAGUAGAAUUUAAGACUUGUAAUCCCCCUUGCUCAUGUUUUUUAUUCCGUAUGAACUGUAUCUGUAUGGGAUGUUUUUAAUGAAAAGGGAUGUUUGCCGGGUUUUUCGUUCGCGGGUAAAACCCACGACAAGGAGCGAAUCCUUGUUACUUUUUAAGAUAAACAUUUUUCGCCCGGCAACAGGCCUUGCCGUCCCUCCACUUCGCUCGACCAUUCUCGCGCUCUUGGCGGAGGUAGGGAUGAAGCGGGCUUAGGCUCCUCGUUCCAUUUUCUGGCUGCCGCGGCUACAACCAAAUCCAAACCUAGGAGAUAAACCUUGGGUAUAGAAGAAGGGAGCACGGUAGUCUAGAAAUAAAACGAAGCUUCAUAUAUCCCAGUUCCAUACCGAAAUGCAUGAUAGAGGGUAAAAGACUUAUCUGGAUCUGCAGCCCCCGGCAACCUUUGGCUUGCCGUGGUUGGAUCCUUGCACUUGCAGCCCCCGGCAACUUUGGUUUGCCGGGGCCAGGACGCCAGUCCGUCCUCCUCCUUCCAAGUAGCUCGACAGAAGUGCUCAUGUGCCCUGCGAACCAAAGAGGACAGGAAAGAAUAGAGAGAUGCGCACUCGACCUCUAAGCCAGGGGUUAGCUGCUGCUAAGCACUAUCAACCCUAACCGAGGAAGAGACUCGACCUAGCAUGCAUGCUAUAACUUAAGGUGCCAGCGCUUCAUUCAUUUAUGCUCAGGGUCUGCGCCUGGCUUUGUACAAAGGGUUACAUGCCUGUCCGGCAAGGCUUGUACAAAAGGGUGGCUUGCCAGGAGGCCCGGCAAGCCACGCCUUAUGGGUAAAACUUGCGAAGAUGCUCGAUGUUCCAGGAGUUGCUCACUGGAAUGGCAUCUUCGGUGUCCAGGCGGACUGCGCCAGGCCUGAUGACUCGUGUUACCCGAUAAGGGCCCUCCCACUUCGGCGUCAACUUGUUGGAAUUCUUGGCCAACUGAACGUGCCGAAGAACAAGGUCGCCUUCCUCAAAGCUCCAGGCAUGAACCUUGCGGCUAUGGUAGCGGCGCAAAGCUUGCUGGUAGCAUGCUGCUCUCACAGCCGCCCAGAGACGAUCUUCCUCAAGGAGCGUUGCGUCAUCUUGCCGCAAUCGCUCUUGCUCAAGCUCAUCAUAAGCGAGCACUCGAGGUGACCCGUAAAUGAGUUCCGUGGGGAGAACUGCUUCUGCCCCGUAGCCCAGGGCAAAUGGUGUCUAGCCGGUGGCUCGAUUUGGCGUCGUCCUGAUCGACCAAAGAACCGCCGGCAACUCAUCAAUCCAGCGCCUCCCGCUCUUGUGCAGCCUGUCAAAAGUAUUCGUCCUCAAGCCUCGCAGCACUUCAGCAUUUGCUCUCUCCGCUUGGCCGUUGCUCCGUGGAUGUGCCACGGAGGCAAAACAGACCUUGCUACCGAGAUCCUCAAUGUACUGCAUGAAGGCAUGGCUUGUGAACUGUGUGCCAUUGUCGGUGAUAAUCCUGUUGGGCACACCAAAAUGGCAAACUAGUCCUUUGAAGAACUUGAUGGCUGACCGCGCUGUCACCUUCCUUACCGCUUCCACUUCUGGCCACUUUGUGAACUUGUCGAUUGCAACAUACAAGUACUCAAAGCCCCCGAUGGCACGAGGGAAGGGGCCCAAUAUGUCGAACCCCAGACCGAGAAGGGCCAUGAGAGAGGGAUGGUUUGAAGGGCUUGCGCUGGUUGAUGAAGCUUCUUUGAAUGGAACUGGCAUGCUUCAAACUUGGUUACUAGUGCCGUCGCAUCCUGGAGGGCAGUGGGCCAGAAGAAACCUUGCCGGAAAGCCUUGCCGGCAAGGGCUCUCGACCCUAUGUGGGAGCCACAUAUACCUCCAUGUAUCUCUGCCAGCAGCUCUAGUCCUUCCUCCCGGGAGAUGCACUUCAAUUUCACCCCGUUUGGCCUUCUUCUGUACAAGACGUUGUCAACGAAUUGGUACAGAGCAGACCGACGGGCUACUCUUUCUGCUUCUUCCUGUUCUUCAGGAAGCUCUCCUAUCUGGAGGAAUUGGACAGUGUGCUGCGCCCAUGCCGGGGCCUGUGUCUCGACGGCAAGGACUAAAUGCAUCUCUUCUGCCAGGGGAGCAACUGUCUCUACGGCCAUGGCCUGGGGCCCUGCCGGAGUCGGUCGCCCCGCGACAGGAUCGGCGUCCACGGCAACAUCUUUGCCAGCAGCUCCAGGGAGCUCGGUGGGGAAGUACUUGCCGGGGCCUAGCUUCCUCCGCUUGUUCAGCCCAGUUGAUGGUUCAACGGAUGGUUGAGUUAACUGAAGCACAAAAGUACCUGGUUCCACAGGUAGCUUGAGGGCAGCACACUUUGACAGGUAGUCGGCAAUGUCGUUCUCCGCCCUUGGGACAUGCUCUGCUUGGAUACCGUCAAAGCGCUCCUCCAGUUUCCUCACUUCAUCAACGUAAGCCUCCAUCAACGGACUUUGGUAAUCUUUGUUCACCUGCCUGACGACGAGCUGUGAAUCGCCCCUGACGAUGAGCUUUCUGACCCCGAGGUCUGCCGCGAUCCUGAGACUGGCAAGCAAACCCUCGUACAGCUGGAUGAUGUACUUGAGGUGCUCUCCGGUGGGCGCAACAAGCAGUACGCCAGCACCGGUGCCUUGCAGCAAAAAGGCCCCGUCAAAGUACAUGAUCCAGCUACAGCUUGUUUCCUUGCUGGGGAGAGUGGUUUCCUGUACCUCUUCGUCGGGCGUCGAGGUCCAUUCUGCAACAAACUCCGCCAAGAUCCUGCUCUGAAUCGUCGAGGUGCUUUCGAACUUCAAACCAAAACUUGACAGCUCCAGGGCCCAUUCCACGAUCCUCCCCGUUGCGUCUGGGUUAUGCAGUAUCCGUUGCAAGGGGAGGCGGGUGACCACGGUGAUCUCGUGCGCUUGGAAAUAAUGGCGAAGCUUCCUCGAGGCCAUAAAGAGGCCGAAGAGCAGUUUCUGCACACUUGAGUACCUUGACCUAGCCCCCUGCAAGAGGGAGCUGACGAAGUAGACUGGGUGUUGUACCAUUUUCUUCUUCUGCGCCAAUUCACCUAGCCGUGCGGGCCUGUCGCUCUGGUGUCAGUCUCAGCCGGGGACUCAUCCUUACCGAGAUCGAGCCCUGCCGGGGAAGGUUCCGGUUUUCCAUCCGUUGACUCUGCCGUCGCUGCUGCCUCUUUGUCGAUCUCUCUCUAUGCCACUAGUGCGGCGCUAACCACUUGAUUCGUCGCCGCUAGGUACAACAGCAACGGUUCUUAUGGUUUGGGCGCAACCAGCACUGGGGUAGAGGAGAGGUAUUUCUUCAAAUCUUGCAGCGCUGCUUCGGCCUUCGGGGUUCACUCCAUUGGGCCUUCUUCAAGACCUUGAAAAAGGGAAGGGCACGCUCCGCGGACUUGGAGAUGAAUCUGCUCAUGGCGGCAACGCAGCCAGCAAGCCGACGCACGUCCUUGAUCCGCCUGGGUGCCUCAAUCUGCUCAAUGGCCUUGAUCUUAUCCGGGUUCGCCUCAAUCCCGCGCUAUGACACAAAGAACCUGAGAAGCUUGUCGGAAGGGACACCGAAAACACACUUCUCAGGGUUCAGCUUGAGGUUGAUCUUGCGCAAGUUUGCAGACGUCUCCUCCAGAUCUUGUACAAGUGUUGCUUUGUCCUCGGUUUUGACCACUAUGUCAUCCAUAUAAGCUUCCAUAUUUCUAUGUAGCUGGGGCUCAAAACCAAUUUGGACUACUCUUGCAAAGGUGGAGCCAGCACUCUUCAACCCGAAAGGCAUCCGUAAAAAGCAAUACGUACCACAUGGGGUGAUGAAUGCUGUCUUUUCCUUGUCUUCUUUUGUCAUGAAGAUCUGGUGGUACCCUGAGUAGGAGUUGAGGAAUGAUAGCAAAUCACACCCGGCCGUGGAGUCAACAAUCUGGUCGAUGCGCGGCAAUGGGAAGGAGUCCUUGGGACAAGCCUUAUUAAUAUCUGUGUAAUCGAUACACAGCCUCCACUUCCCAUUCGCCUUGCACACCACUACCGGAUUGGCCAACCACGUCGGAUGGAGCACUCCUCUCACCAGUCCUGCUGCUUCUAACUUUCUGAUUUCCUCUGUGAUGAAUUCUUGUCUCUCCAGAGCUUGCUUCCUGACCUUUUGCUUGACGGGCCGUGCAUGGGGACAGACAACAAGAUGGUGCUCAAUCACUUCCCUGGGAACACCGGGGAUGUCAGAGGCUUGCCACACAAACACAUCGACAUUCGCCCGCAGGAAAGUGACGAGCUAGCUUUCCUAUUUGCUGUUGAGGGUGGAGCUUAUGGUAAAAGCUCCCCCCGUGCUGUCCUCUUUGACGGACACCUUCUUGGUCUCUGGCGGCGUAGCUCUGGAUUUCUUGCUCUUGCCGGUGGAGCUCUCUAGCACGUCCUUGACGGUAGCACAACACUCCGAAGAGGUGUGCUUGCCAGAGUGGGCGCGAGAGGUCUUGCCGGUCCUCUUCUUCCCUCCCGAGGCUUCAGCGGCAGGAGCAAGUACCUUAGCGGCAGUUGCUGCUACUGCUUCCUAGUAGAGUAGGUCAGCGCAGAUCAGCGCGUCUUUUUUGUCGGAGGGGACGGUGAUGAUGUUCAUUGGCCCGAGCAUCUUCAGCGUGUUGUAGGCGUAGUGAGAAGCCGCCAUGAACUUGGCAAGUGCCGGGCGACCGAGAAUCCCAUUGUAGGGCAAGGGGAUCUCAGCCACAUAAAAAACAAUCCUCUCCGUCCUAUAGUUCAGCUCACUUCCAAACGUCACAGGCAAUGUGACCUUUCCCUUCGGCUGGCUCCUUCCCGGGUUGACCCCUUGAAACGUGCCUGUUUCUUCGAGGUCUCCAUCGGAAAUUUGCAGCCUCUUGAUCACGACAGGUGAGAUCAAAUUCAGACUGGCCCCGCCGUCAACCAGCAUCUUGUUCACCUUGAGGUUGCGUAUUGUUGGUGAGACCAACAACGACAAACACCCGACCGUAGUUGUGCGGUCAGGGUGGUCCUCGGCGUCAAAGAUGAGGGGCGUGCUGGACCAUCUCAGGGGCUUCUGGGCGUCGAACGAGGGCUCUGCCGCUGUAAUCUCACACGCCCACUGUUUGAGCUGGCGGUGAUAAGUAUGCAGCGAGGUGCCACCGUCGACGCACAUGGCCUCUGUAGCCUUCUGCAACUCUUGCUCACCGGACUCGUCAUCCUCGUCGUGAUCAUCGUCUUCUUGUUUCUUGUCGCGGCCCCGAGAGGGCCUCUCUUGUUGGCUAUCCUUGCCGUGGCGACCUCCUUGGCCGCCAUGCUUCUUGUCGGACCCUCCAGCACCAUCCUGACCCUUCUCCUUGUCCCGCCUUUCAUACUCACCCUUCUUCCUUUCGGCAAGCAGCUCGACUUGUCGGCAGUUCUGGAGGUCGUGGCCUUUGGUGCGGUGGAUCUUGCAAUACCGCUUGUCGGAGCCCCUUGGCUUAUCGGCAGCCGCCAAGGCCCGGCAGGCGGUACUGAUGUCUACUACACAACCUUCUUCUUGUAGACGUUGUUGGGCCUCCAAGUGCAGAGGUUUGUAGGACAGUAGCAAAUUUCCCUCAAGUGGAUGACCUAAGGCUUAUCAAUCCGUGGGAGGCAUAGGAUGAAGAUGAUCUCUCUCAAACAACCCUGCAACCAAAUAACAAAGAGUCUCUUGUGUCCCCAACACACCCAAUACAAUGGUAAAUUGUAUAGGUGCACUAGUUCAGCGAAGAGAUGGUGAUACAAGUGCAAUAUGGAUAGUAGAUAUAGGUUUUUGUAAUAUGAAAAUAUAAAACAGCAAGGUAGCAAGUGGUAAAAGUGAGCGUAAACGGUAUUGCAAUGAGUUGAAACAAGGCCUAGGGUUCAUACUUUCACUAGUGCAAGUUCUCUCAACAAUAAUAACAUAAUUGGAUCAUAUAACUAUCCCUUGACAUGCAACAAAGAGUCACUCCAAAGUCACUAAUAGCGGAGAACAAACCAAGAGAUUAUGGUAGGGUACGAAACCACCUCAAAGUUAUUCUUUCCAAUCAAUCCGUUGGGCUAUUCCUAUAAGUGUCACAAAUAGCCCUAGAGUUCGUACUAGAAUAACACCUUAAGACACAAAUCAACCAAAACCCUAAUGUCACCUAGAUACUCCAAUGUCACCUCAAGUAUCCGUGGGUAUGAUUAUACGAUAUGCAUCACACAAUCUCAGAUUCAUCUAUUCAACCAACACAUAGAACCUCAAAGAGUGCCCCAAAGUUUCUACCGGAGAAUCACGACGAAAACGUGUGCCAACCCCUAUGCAUAGGUUCAUGGGCGGAACCCGCAAGUUGAUCACCAAAACAUACAUCAAGUGAAUCACGUGAUAUCCCAUUGUCACCACAGAUACGCACGGCAAGACAUACAUCAAGUGUUCUCAAAUCUUUAAAGACUCAAUCCAAUAAGAUUACUUCAAAGGGAAAACUCAAUCCAUUACAAGAGAGUAGAGGGGGAGAAGAAACAUAAGAUCCAACUAUAAUAGCAAACCUCGCGAUACAUCAAGAUCGUGCCAAAUCAAGGACACGAGAGGAAGAGAUCAAACACAUACCUACUGGUACAUACCCUUAGCCCCAAGGGUGAACUACUCCCUCCUCGUCAUGGAGAGCGCCAGGAUGAUGAAGAUGGCCACCGGUGAUGGGUUCCCCCUCCGACAGGGUGCCGGAACGGGCUCCCGAGAGGUUUUUGGUGGCUACAGAGUCUUGCGGCGGCGGAACUCCCGAUCUAUCUUCUGUUCUGGAAGUUUUAGGAUACGUGGAGUUAUAUAGGCGAAAGAAGUACGUCAGGGGAGCCACGAGGGCCCCACGAGGGUGGAGGGCGCGCCCGGGGGGGUGGGCGCGUCCCCUGCCUCGUGGCUCCCUCGUUUCUUUCUUGACGUGCACUCCAAGUUUUUCCGGUAGCUUUCCUUCCAAAAAUAACUUCUCCAGUUGGUUUCAUUCCGUUUUGAUUCCGUUUGAUAUUCCUUUUCUUCGAAACACUGAAACAAGGGGAAAAACAGGAACUGGCACUGGGCUCUGGGUCAAUAGGUUAGUCCCAAAAGUAAUAUAAAAGUGUUCAAUAAAGCCCAUAAACACCCAAAACACAUAAUAUAAUAGCAUGAAUACUUCAUAAAUUAUAGAUACGUUGGAGACGUAUCAGCAUCCCCAAGCUUAAUUCCUGCUCGUCCUCGAGUAGGUAAAUGAUAAAAUAAAGAAUUUAUGAAGUGUGAAUGCUUAGCAGGUGCAUAAGUUUGAUCAAUGAUAAUUUCAAUCACCUUUUCUAGCAUCAUUAUAUGUCAUAACAGUAGCUCAACUCAUAGAACUUUUCAUGAUCAAGUAACAAACUAUUCACAUGUUAAAGUAUAGAUCAUAAACUUUCUUGAAAACUAACAAACAGUUCUCAGUCAUCAAACAAUUGCAAUUCAUCUUAUUUUCAGGAAGAGUCUAUGUCAGAGCUUUAAUUUAGCAAACUCCACAUACUCAACUAUCAUUUAGUCAUUCACAAUUGCUAACACUCACGUGAUAUUUAUGGGUUCAAAGUUUUAAUCAGACACAGAGAAAGAUAGGGGCUUAUAGAUUCGCCUCCCAACCUUUUACCUCAAGGGUAAUGUCAACAAUAAUAGAUCAUGAUGCCUUACAUCCAAUUGGAUAUAUAUAUCAGAAUCUUUCCAACACGAGGUGCUUGCCAAAGGAUAAAAUGAAAUAAGGGAAAGGUGAAGAUCACCAUGACUCUUGCAUAAAAGUAAAAGAUAGGACCUUCGCAGAGGGAAGCAGGGAUUUGCAGAGGUGCCAGAGCUCAAAGAAAAAACAGAGAUGAAAAUAAUUUUGAGAGGUAUGCUUUCAUUGUCAACAUAACGACCAAGAGCUCCCAAUAUCUUCCAUACUACAUACAUUAUAGGCGGUUCCCAAACAGAAAGGUAAAGAUUUUUACUCCCCCUCCACCAACAAUCAUCAAUCCAUGGCUUGCCCGAAACAACGGGUGCCUCCAACUAACAUCAAACCCGGGGGAGUUUUGUUUGCAAUUAUUUUUGAUUUGAUUUUGAUCUUUUGAUCAUGGGACUGGGCAUCCCAGUUACCAGCCAUUUUCUCGUGAAUGAUGAGCGGAGUCCACUCAUCGUGAGAAUAACCCACCUAGCAUGGAAGAUACUGCUAACCCGCAGUCGCUACAUGAGCAAUUUGGGCAUACAAAACAGAUUAUUAUUUGAAGGUUUAGAGUUUGGCACAUGCAAAUUUACUUGCAACGGCAGGUAAAUACCGCAUAUAGGUAGAUAUGGUGGACACUCAUGGAAGAAACUUGGUUCAAGGAAUUUGGAUGCACAAGUAGUAUCUCUACUUGGUGCGAGGAAUUUGGCUAGCAAGAGGGGGAAAGGCAAGCUCAACGUGUCAGGCGAUCCAUGACAAUAUACUUUAUUUCGGAUAUAAGAAAACAUAACCCAUUACGUUGUCUUCCUUGUCCAACAUCAACCUUUUAUCAUGUCAUACUUAAUGAGUGCUCCUAAUUAUAAAAUAUGUCUAGGAUAGUAUACUUAUAUAUGAAAUCUCUCUUCCUUCAAUAUUUUUUCAUGAAUUGUUCAAGUGACCAAUACAAUGUUUGCUAAUCUUCAAUAAAUUUACCACCUCUACCUCUUAUAUGUAAAGUCAUUACUCCCCAUGGGAUAAGCAUAUGAAACAUGUAUAAUUUUAGAUUUAUGACAUUCAAAUCAUUCAACCAUUUACUCAUAGGAUAUAAGUGAAGCACGCGAGUAAAUGACAAACUACUCCAAAAAGAUAUAAGUGAAGAUCAAUGAGUAGUUGAAUAAUUAUGCAACUAUGUGAAGACUCUCUCUCAUUUAAGAAUUUAAGAUCUUGGUACUUUAUUCAAACAGCAAGCAAAGCUUAAAGAAAAUAAAAUGACGCUCCAAGCAAAACACAUAUCAUGUGGUGAAUAAAAAAUAUAGCUCCAAAUAAAGUUACCGAUGAACGAGGACGAAAGAGGGGAUGCCUUCCGGGGCAUCCCCAAGUUUAGGCUCUUGGUUAUCCUUGAAUAUUACCUUGGGGUGCCUCGGGCAUCCCCAAGCUUAGGCUCUUGCCACUCCUUAUUCCAUAGUCCAUCGAAUCUUUACCCAAAACUUGAAAACUUCACAACACAAAACUUAACAGAAAACUCGUGAGCUCCGUUAGCGAAAGAAAACAAAACACCACUUCAAGGUACUGUAAUGAACUCAUUAUUUAUUUAUAUUGGUGUUAAAACUACUGUAUUCCAACUUCUCUAUGGUUUAUAAACUAUUUUACUAGCCAUAGAUUCAUCAAAAUAAGCAAGCAACACAAUAAAAACAGAAUCUGUCAAAAACAGAACGGUCUGUAGUAAUCUGUAUUAAACGUAUACUUCUCGAACUCCAAAAAUUCUAAAAUAAAUUGGUGGACCUGAGUAAUUUGUCUAGUAAUCAUCUGCAAAAAGAAUCAACUAAAAAGCACCCUCCAGUAAAACGUUUUGGCUAAUCUCGUGAGCGCUAAAGUUUCUGUUUUUUACAGCAUGAUCAUAAAGACUUCACCCAAGUCUUCCCAAAGGUUCUACUUGGCACAAACACUAAUUAAAACACAAAACCACAUCUAAACAGAAGCUAGAUGGAUUAUUUAUUCCUAAACAGAACCAAAAAGCAAGAAACUAAAAUAAAAUUGGGUUGCCUCCCAACAAGCGCUAACGUUUACCGCCCCUAGCUAGGCAUGAUGAUUUCAAUGAUGCUCGCAUAAAAGAUAAGAAUUGAAACAUAAAGAGAGCAUCAUGAAGAAUAUGACUAGCACAUUUAAGUCUAACCCACUUCCUAUGCAUAGGGAUUUUGUUAGCAAACAACUUAUGGGAACAAUAAUCAACUAACAUAGGAAGGCAAAACAAGCAUAACUUCAAAACUUUAAGCACAUAGAGAGGAAACUUGAUAUUAUUGCAAUUCCUACAAGCAUAUAUUCCUCCCUCAUAAUAGCUUUCAGUAGCAUCAUGAAUGAAUUCAAAAAUAUAACCAGCACCUAAAGCAUUCUUUUCAUGAUCUACAAGCAUAGAAAUUUUAUUACUCUCCACAUAAGCAAAAUUCUUCUCAUUCGGAAUAGUGGGAGUAUCAUAAGAGACUUGAAUACUAUAAAUUGUUUCCACAUUAAAAGAGUAAUGUUCAGAGAAAGGGUACUCAUAAUCAUGACAAGUUUUAUAAAUAUAAUCAUCACUACUCUUUAUAGCAUAAGUUUUAUCACAAUAAUCAUCAUAAGUAGCAACUUUGUUCUCAUCAUAAUCAAUUGAAACCUCUUCCGAAAUAGUGGAUACAUCACUAAAUAAAGUCAUGACCUCUCCAAAUCCACUUUCAUAAAUAUUAUAAGAUUAAACAUCCUCCAAAAUAGUGGGAUCAUUACUUCCUAAAGUUGACACUCUUCCAAACCCACUUUUAUAAAUAUAAUCAUCAUAAGUAGAAGGCAUGCUAUCAUCAUAACUACUUUGCAUAUCAAAACCUGGGAGGCUAAAAAUAUCAUCAUUAUUAAACAUAGCUUCCCCAAGCUUGGGACAAACAUUGAUUGCAACAAAUAUAUUCUCAAAUAUGUCUCGUCAAACAUAGCGUCCCCAAGCUUGGGCCUUUUCAUAUCAUAAGCAUAAUCACUCUCAUCAUUAAUAGUAUAGAUAGCACCAAUAGUAUAGCAAUUAUUAUAUUCUUCCAAGCAAGUGCCAAAAAGAUUUUCAAGAUCAUAAGGAGUAUCAUUAUCUUCCCAACCAUAAUCAUCACAACAAGCAAUAGGCAUAACUAGAUCAUCAUCAAGUGCAUCAUCUUCCACAAUUAUUUUUGAUUCAUUUUCAUGAGGCACAACAAUAAUAGGAGCAACCUUAUUUGGGAGAGAUACCUUUUUACCUCUCUUCCUUUUCCUUUUCUUCUUCUUCACCACAUCAUGUGUGGGUUUAAUCCUCUUUUUGGAACUCCUUAUUGAUGAGAUUGGUUGAAUAGAAGGCUCCUCCUCGUUACCUGAUUCAUCAUAAGAAAUAAUAGGAGGAUAUUGGGAGGUCUCUCCCUUUCGUUAGUAUUUUCUUCAUCUUCUAUUUGUUUUCUUUUCUUUAUGUAAUUGGCAAUAUAAGGAUUUUCAAUACAAUUCACCGCACAAUACAUAUAAAUCUUCUCUAGAUCAAAAUCAAGAAAUCUAUCAAGAUUAAAUUUUGGAAUACCCUCAGUUAUACGUUUCAUUUCUUCAUACCCCAAAAGAAGGCUAAGCUCUUUAUGAUGCUCAAGGGUAAUCAAAUUAUCACAAUAUUUGGACACGACUUGAUCAUGAAACAAAUAGCAUUGGAGCUUUAAGUGACCAUGUUCAUUGCAAAUUUCAGAAGGGGCGCGAUAAAUAUUGAAUCUUUCAGCGCAAUCAUCUAGACUCUCUUGCAACAAUUUAGUUUUUAAGUACUUAUGCCUCUUGCAGUAUCUAUCUUCCCAAUUUGGUGUGUACUCACAAACCCAAUGCACCCCACAAAAAUUGACAUGUUUAUAGGAGACAUUUUCAUCAUAACUAGUGCAAUCAUCAUUAGUACUAUGGAUAUUCAAAGAGUUCAUACUAAAAACAUUGCAAUCAUCCUCAUCAUUCAAAGAUUUAGUGCCAAACAUUUUAAUGCAUUCUUCUUCUAACACUUUGGCAGAAUUUUCCUUUCCACCAUACUCACGAAAGAUAUUAAAAAGAUGAAGCGUAUGAGGCAAACUCAACUCCAUUUUUUUGGUAGUUUUCUUUUAUAAACUAAACUAGUGCUAAAACAAGAAACAAAAAGAUUCGAUUGCAAGAUCUAAAGAUAUACCUUCAAGCACUCACCUCCCCGGCAACGGCGCCAGAAAAGAGCUUAGUUGACGGGGUGUGAGUGCCGCUUACCUAGCCUCCCCGGCAAUGGUGCCAGAAAAGAGCUUGAUGUCUACUACACAACCUUCUUCUUGUAGACGUUGUUGGGCCUCCAAGUGCAGAGGUUUGUAGGACAGUAGCAAAUUUCCCUCAAGUGGAUGACCUAAGGUUUAUCAAUCCGAGGGAGGCCUAGGAUGAAGAUGGUCUCUCUCAAACAACCCUGCAACCAAAUAACAAAGAGUCUCUUGUGUCCCUAACACACCCAAUACAAUGGUAAAUUGUAUAGGUGCACUAGUUCGGCGAAGAGAUGGUGAUACAAGUGCAAUAUGGAUAGUAGAUAUAUGUUUUUGUAAUCUGAAAAUAUAAAAACAGCAAGGUAGCAAGUGGUAAAAGUGAGCGUAAACGGUAUUGCAAUGAGUUGAAACAAGGCCUAGGGUUCAUACUUUCACUAGUGCAAGUUCUCUCAACAAUAAUAACAUAAUUGGAUCAUAUAACUAUCCCUCGACAUGCAACAAAGAGUCACUCCAAAGUCACUAAUAGCGGAGAACAAACGAAGAGAUUAUGGUAGGGUACGAAACCACCUCAAAGUUAUUCUUUCCAAUCAAUCCGUUGGGCUAUUCCUAUAAGUGUCACAAACAGCCCUAGAGUUCGUACUAGAAUAACACCUUAAGACACAAAUCAACCAAAACCCUAAUGUCACCUAGAUACUCCAAUGUCACCUCAAGUAUCCGUGGGUAUGAUUAUACGAUAUGCAUCACACAAUCUCAUAUUUAGCUAUUCAACCAACACAUAGAACCUCAAAGAGUGCCCCAAAGUUUCUACCGGAGAAUCACGACGAAAACGUGUGCCAACCCCUAUGCAUAGGUUCAUGGGAGGAACCCGCAAGUUGAUCACCAAAACAUACAUCAAGUGAAUCACGUGAUAUCCCAUUGUCACCACAGAUACGCACGGCAAGACAUACAUCAAGUGUUCUCAAAUCUUUAAAGACUCAAUCCGAUAAGAUUACUUCAAAGGGAAAACUCAAUCCAUUACAAGAGAGUAGAGGGGGAGAAGAAACAUAAGAUCCAACUAUAAUAGCAAAGCUCGCGAUACAUCAAGAUCGUGCCAAAUCAAGAACACGAGAGGGAGAGAUCAAACACAUAGCUACUGGUACAUACCCUCAGCCCCGGGGGUGAACUACUCCCUCCUCGUCAUGGAGAGCGCCGAGAUGAUGAAGAUGGCCACCGGUGAUGGUUCCCCCUCCGGCAGGGUGCCGGAACGGGCUCCCGGGAGGUUUUUGGUGGCUACAGAGGCUUGCGGCAGUGGAACUCCCGAUCUAUCUUCUGUUCUGGAAGUUUGAGGAUACGUGGAGUUAUAUAGGUGAAAGAAGUACGUCAGGGGAGCCACGAGGGCCCCACGAGGGUGGAAGGCGCGCCCAGGGGGGUGGGCGCGCCCCCCUGCCUCGUGGCUCCCUCGUUUCUUUCUUGACAUGCACUCCAAGUUUUUUCGGUUGCUUUCCUUCCAAAAAUAACUUCUCCAGUUGGUUUCAUUCCGUUUCGACUCCGUUUGAUAUUCCUUUUCUUCGAAACACUGAAACAAGGGAAAAAACAGGAACUGGCACUGGGCUCUGGGUCAAUAGGUUAGUCCCAAAAGUAAUAUAAAAGUGUUCAAUAAAGCCCAUAAACAUCCAAAACACAUAAUAUAAUAGCAUGAAUACUUCAUAAAUUAUAGAUACGUUGGAGACGUAUCAGGUACAUCCGGCAAUCUCCUUGCCGGGGUCGUCUGCCUUGGCUUUCUUGGUGGUGCCAGUGUCGCCGGAUUCCUCGACGGCAAGUACGGUUUUGCCCUUGCGUUUCUUGUUGCGACGCCGGCCCUUCUUCGUCGGGGCGGUGGUGUCUCCGUCAGUGGAGUCGGUUUCCACGCUGGCGUCCUCGCCGGGGUACUUCCUUCCCUCCUCAGCCCGGGCGCACCUGUCGGCCAGAACAUGAAGUUCGGCCACAUCCCUAACCUUGUUCAUCGCCAGUUCUUCGCGCAUCUUGCGAUUGCGCACGUUCUGGUGGAACGCGCUAAUCAUAGCGGCGGGGUGAACGUCGGGGAUGUUGUAUUGGACCCGGCUGAACCUCUGGAUGUACUUGCGCAGGGUUUCUCCAUCCUUCUGGGGAAUGAUGUGUAAAUCAUUCGCCUGGCCGUGAGCUUGGUGGCCUCCAGUGAAGGCACCCACAAACGCAUGACACAGGUCCGACCAGGAAGAAAUGGAGUCCACCGGCAAGUGCAUCAACCAAGACAUGACGUUGGGCUUCAGCGCCAACGGGAAGUAGUUGGCGAGCACCUUGUCGUCGCGAGCUCCGGCAGCUUGCAUUGCGAUGGUGUAAAUGCUGAGGAACUCCAACGGAUGGGUCUUGCCAUUGUACUUUUCGCCGACGUCGGUUUUGAACGUGCGGUGGGACGGCCAUUGGAAAUGCCGUAGCUCACGGGUGAAGGCCGGGCAACCUACCUCGUAAGGCAGGCCACUGGAGCCCCCCGGAACUGGGCGCUCCAUAGCAGGCUCUGCUCGCUUGUCCGACUGGUGGCGUGUGUCGCGCCGGCGUUCGAUGGUGGUUCGAGCAUCUUCGUGAGCUCGCUCUCGAAGAACUUGGCGCUGGUCAUGGCGGGUCCGCGGGUCGGACGACGAUGUGGAGAUGUCAUCACAAGCGUCGUCACGAUGGGCUGACGCUCGCGGUGGUCGGCAUGGAGGAGGAGGAGAGUGCACCGUGGCCGCAGCACCCCCGAUCUCUCCUCCACUGGCAUGCGGUGGCUCGAUGGAGCGCCGACCCAAGGGCCCCGUCGGUCGCGGACCGUCUUUGUUGGCGGUGGCAACGAGGCUCCGUAUGGUGGCCCUCCACUCAUCAAGCUUCUCCGCAGCAGGAGGGAAAUCGAGGAGCAGCUGUGCGCGCGCCAAAGCUUUUGCUGGUGUGGGUGGUGGCGAAAGCUGCGUGGAUCGUGGGGCGCUCCGACUUCUAACCACGUUAGAAGGAGCUCCGUCACGGUCCAGCGGCUGCAUGCCACUUUCGGCAGCGCUUCGGCGGGUACGUAGGCCCCCUUCGUCUCGUGGAUGAAGCACAUGGCUCUUCCCACGACGGCGUCCAGGGUCGUCAGCAUGGUGACGCUGCUCGUCGCGCGCACCGUGGGAGGAGUGCGCUAUGGGCGCCGGGACAGGCGUCUUGGAGGUCGCUGCGCCGCCUGUGUGCAGCACAACAACGUUUUUGGAGGUCGCUGCGCCGCCUGUGUGCAGCACAACAACGUUUUUGGAGGGCCCCGCACCGCCUGCGUGGGGUCCGGCCCCGCCCUGGGAUCUAGCGGCGCGCGGCUCCUCAUUCGGCGUGCGAACGACGGCGCUCACCAGGCCAUGAUCGCCAGGGCGAUGCUGAUGCUCACGGGCUGCAGCCCGGGUUCUGUCCGCGACCGGUCCGCUGCUCGCUCGCACCGAAUCGGUCCGCUUGGCUCCUGACGAGCCAACCACCGUGGUCGCCUUCUUCUUGGGAGCCAUGGUGAUGAAGAAUUGUGCUGCUGGCUGUAGAACCAGAUGCUCACUACUCCGCGCCCCCUACCUGGCGCGCCAAAGAUGUCGGUGUGAAACGACACCUAUGGGAUAAAGGGGAUCCCUUCUGCGGUUGCGGGGCGCUGGAAUGGUGAGGAGAGCAGGAUCAACAGUCAGUGCAAACACACGGGUCGUUUACUCAGGUUUGGGCCGCAGAGAUGCGUAAUACCCUAGUCCUGCUUUGGUGGUUGUAUAUCUGUGUUCUUGAGGAGCUCGAACUAGCUACAGAGGGCGUAACUUGUCCAAGGGUCCGAAUCCUUCUCCUGGAUGCCUUGGGUCUCCUUUUAUAGGCAAAGGGAUCGCCA